AUUGAACGCUGGCGGCAGGCCUAACACAUGCAAGUCGAACGAGUGGCGGACGGGUGAGUAAUGUAUGGGGAACUGCCCGAUGGAGGGGGAUAACUACUGGAAACGGUAGCUAAUACCGCAUACUAUCGGAUGUACCCAUAUGGGAUUAGCUAGUAGGUGGGGUAACGGCUCACCUAGGCGACGAUCCCUAGCUGGUCUGAGAGGAUGACCAGCCACACUGGGACUGAGACACGGUCCAGACUCCUACGGGAGGCAGCAGUGGGGAAUAUUGCACAAUGGGCGCAAGCCUGAUGCAGCCAUGCCGCGUGUAUGAAGAAGGCCUUCGGGUUGUAAAGUACUUUCAGCGGGGAGGCGUUACCCGCAGAAGAAGCACCGGCUAACUCCGUGCCAGCAGCCGCGGUAAUAC
rnacentral:rRNA from 1 species